ensembl:lncRNA LINC01777 long intergenic non-protein coding RNA 1777
GGCAUUUUUCUCUUAACCAGCGCAAUGUACUUAGGAGGUCAUGCGCCGGUUAAACUCUGCCAUUAUGCCUCUUACUGGGCAUGCUUGAGCCCACGGGCCCAACUCCUGAGAUCCCAUUCGGAAGCUGCUGAUCACCAGUUUCAAGUGUUUCUGUUUAUUGGGAGACUGCCUUCCUCUGGCACUGGCAGUGACCAAUUAUUAUUUUAGAGAGACUGUUAACGGCCUGACCAUCACCUGAUGAAUAUCAGGAAUGUGGCCUGACAUUCCUGGUGUGUGUGGUGUGGGGUACGAGGGGAGCUCUCUCCUACGCUGCUCAUGUCUGACUAGUUGGAUUCUGCAGAGUGGAAGUGGGAAACUCCUUCUGACCCUGGCCACCUGUCUCCAUGUGAAGGCAGAUCCAUUUGAGUGACAGUCCGAGGCAAUACCUCAACUGCCUCUCACUUCCCAAGACAAAUAAACCCACUUGACCUUGAUGUGCUUUUUGUGAAUACAUUGUGAGAUUGGACUUUCGGAUAUUUUAUUUAGAAUUUCUGCGUCUAUAUUCUUUGGGAGGUACACGGAGCGCCUUCUUUUCGUUUAGAGCAUUGGUGUCUCCACAUUAGAAGCAUCCUAUGUAGCUGUUCUGCUUGCAGCUGCCCAAGUCUGCCUGGGCCUCCUGCAUGAGGUCAUGAGUCUUAAUAAAGCCACUGACCCACACAUUUGGAAUCGUACUGACUUUUCACAACUAACAGCCAACACAUUGCCAAGAAGCAAUUCAAUUGUUGAGGAUAUCACAUCAUGCCAGGGAAAGAGAGAUGGAAUUCAGAAAGCCUGGGAUAUUGCAGUGCCUUCUUCCCACGAUUUUAAAAGGAAAUGGGAGAACUGUGCAGUCACACUGACAUCCCGCAUCCACGCGGAAUCUGCUCAGCCACGGUGGAGCAUCCAUUGGUGCACCGAGGGGGAUGGCAGGGGCCCCAACACACAACACGAUUUAUAUCAAAGCAA